rnacentral:misc_RNA from 1 species
CUUCAUCGCGGGCAAGCCCGGCUCCCACAGGGGAAUGCAUUCCAACAGAUGAAUGCAAUUCAAUGUGGGAGCCGGGCUUGCCCGCGAUAGCG